UUGGUUAAGUCAGGCAACGAGCGAGAUCCGCGCCUUUAUUUGCCAGCAAGAAGUCACGACUUCGUUGGGAACACUAAAGGGACCGCCGUCGCUAAGACGGAGGAAGGAGUGGGCAAAGGCAGGUCAGUAUGCCCCGAAACCCCUGGGCUACGCGCGGGCUGCAAUGGUAUGAACAAUGGGCUGUGACUCCGAAAGGAGAAACCAAUCCCGAAAUCAUAUCUCAGUGGGAAUUGUCGGCUGUAACCCGCCGACAUGAACGUGGAAUCCCUAGUAAUCGUGUGUCAUCAUCGCACGGUGAAUACGUCCCUGCUCCUUGCACA
rnacentral:rRNA from 1 species